GAAAUCAGUAUGGUGUUUAGAAACAGAAAAGCCUAAUUGAGCAUGCUGUAGAAUUCUGAUGAAAUGGAAUAAAAUGAACGUUUUGACAGUUGAGGGUUUUGGGUAUCUGAUUAAGUGCAGUUGAUGCUAUCUGUAUUGCUGUGAUUAUAGCAAAACGCCAUAGGAUAAAUAUUCUAAUAGCAUCCCUCUUCCAAAUUAAUUGCCACAUCUCCCCUGGCUUUGGCUUUGGAGAACCUGGGUCUCAUCAUGACUGGCCUUUCUUGGUAGCUGGCUUUAGUCCUGGACACCUCCAGUCAUCUUGGAUAAGACUAAGGGAUCUCACAGGUGUGGUUUGGUGGAGAAUGAGAUCCAAUGGCCUGAGACUGUCACCUUUAUUUUUUGAAGAUUGUUUCCCAGCAGUACAGAAACAUGGCUUCUAGAAGAACUUGUUAGUCAUGGAGUAUUAAAAUCGAUUAAUGACACAUGAGAUGUGCACAUCUAGGGACCAUUUUGAAGUGCAACGUUGUAAACAUUAAGUCACAUCGUGGGACCCAUACAAAAUGCCACUAAUGAUGCUGGAGGUGCUCACAAGAAGCAGAUAAACAUCAUGACGUUACAAGAAAAAGCUGGAUUCCUUGACGUGUACCACAGAUUGAGGGCUGCAGCUACAGUUGCCGCUAUUUCAAGAUAAAUGAAUCCAGCAUAAUGAUUAUUGCAAAAAGUCAGAAAGAAACUCCUGAAGCCAUUACUGUGGCUAUGCCAGCAGACACAAAAACCUUGUAUGUGUUUUGAAAUACCUUAUAAUCUCAUAGUGAAAAUGGAGCUUUUAUGUCGGUGUAAGAUUGCUGUCAGAAAGGCAUACCUAUAGAAUCUAAUGUGAUUUUUAAAAAAGCAAAGUUAUAUGACAAAGUAAAGGAAGGUGAAAGAUCUAAAGAUAGAUAAUUUAA